rnacentral:tRNA from 1 species
GGUGAGGUAGCUCAACUGGAUAGAGCAGCUGUCUACGAAGCAGCCGGUUGUGGGUUCGAGUCCCUCCCUCAUCACCA